rnacentral:sRNA from 1 species
CCUUCCUCUCUACACAGGGCAUCCACGUGGACCACACGGCCGAGCUGCGGGGAAUCCGGUGGGCCAGCAGUUUGCAGCGGGAGACCUCGGACUAUCACCGCAUGCUGACGCCCACCCUGGAGGCACUGUUUGUAAGUAGUUUUCAGAAGACAGAGGCAAGCUGCGUGGGUUGCACGGUGCUGAAUUACAGGGAUGGGAACUCCAGUGUCCUCGUACAUUUCCAGCUGCACUUUCUGCUGCGACCCCUCCAGACGCUGAGCCUGGGCCUGGAGGAGGAGCUAUUGCAGCGAGGGAUCCGGGCAAGGCUGCGGGAGCACGGCAUCUCCCUGGCUGCCUAUGGCACAAUUGUGUCGGCCGAGCUCACAGGGAGACAUAAGGGACCCUUGGCAGAAAGAGACUUAAAAUCAGGCCCCUGUCCAGGGAACUCCUUUUCCUGCCAGAACAGCCAGUGUGUGACCAAGGUGAACCCGGAGUGUGACGACCAGAAGGACUGCUCCGAUGGGUCCGACGAGGCGCACUGCGAGUGUGGCUUGCAGCCUGCCUGGAGGAUGGCCGGCAGGAUCGUGGGCGGCACGGAAGCGUCCCCGGGGGAGUUUCCGUGGCAAGCCAGCCUUCGAGAGAACAAGGAGCACUUCUGUGGGGCCGCCAUCAUCAGCGCCAGGUGGCUGGUGUCUGCCGCUCACUGCUUCAAUGAGUUCCAAGACCCAACGGAAUGGGUGGCCUACGUGGGUGCGACCUACCUCAGCGGCUGGGAGGCCAGCACCGUGCGGGCCCGGGUGGCCCAGAUCGUCAAGCACCCCCUGUACAACGCGGACACGGCCGACUUCGACGUGGCGGUGCUGGAGCUGACCAGCCCUCUGCCUUUCGGUCGGCACAUCCAGCCCGUGUGCCUCCCGGCUGCCACACACAUCUUCCCACCCAGGAAGAAGUGCUUGAUCUCAGGCUGGGGCUACCUCAAGGAGGACUUCCUGGUCAAGCCAGAGGUGCUUCAGAAAGCCACUGUGGAGCUGCUGGACCAGGCACUGUGUGCCAGCCUGUACGGCCACUCACUCACUGACAGGAUGGUGUGUGCUGGCUACCUGGACGGGAAGGUGGACUCCUGCCAGGGUGACUCAGGAGGACCCCUGGUCUGCGAGGAGCCCUCUGGCCGGUUCUUUCUGGCUGGCAUCGUGAGCUGGGGAAUCGGGUGUGCGGAAGCCCGGCGUCCGGGGGUCUAUGCCCGAGUCACCAGGCUACGUGACUGGAUCCUGGAGGCCACCACCAAAGCCAGCAUGCCUCUGGUCCCCACGGUGGCGCCUGCCCCCGCCGCCCCCAGCACAGCCUGGCCCACCAGUCCUGAGAGCCCUGUGGUCAGCGCUCCCAACAAAUCCACGCAGGCCCCCAGCACUGUGCCUCUUGACUGGGUCACCGUUCCUAAGCUACAAGGUAUUUUCGGGGCAGAAAGGUAGAUGAUGUACGCUCCUAUCUUGGUUUAGGGAGAACUGAUAUCUUCAUAGUAUCUUUGUAAUUUUGGAUCUUCCUGUUCAAGGAAAGGUCACAUGUGUAUCCGUUUAUUCCCAUCUUAUGUUGUGUGUACCCUCAUGGUACGUUCUGUCCACAGGUCUUG